CUGUCUCUCAAAAAUAAAUAAAUGUUAAAAAAAAUUUUUUUUAAAUAGUCCAUAAAUAAAAUAGUCCAUAACAAGAAAAAAAAGUUGGGAGGUGAAAGGUGAAACAAGACGGGCAAGAUGCGGAUUAUGACUCAAAUCUUAGGAGGUUUUCACACGCUUCUAUUUUUGCAUGUGUGUGAAGUUUUUCUAUAAAAGGGAAGUAAUAACACAUCAUGUAUCUGGUUUCGGCGUGGGGGGGGACAACAGUGGGGGAUCCUGGGCGGAAGCGGACCAGACGUGACUGCCAGAGUCCAGGCUAAAAGCCGUCAACAUGGCCAAAACUGGAUGCUGACAACACCAAGUGUUGACAGGACAGUGGAGGGACUAGAACUCUCUCAUCCGCCGCUGCUGGGUGUAAAACAGUUUGCCACAGGCCUUCGGUCUCAUGAAGUCGUGCGCUUCACACCCAGCCCAGCGACCCCACUCCUGGACGUUUCCCCGAGAGGAACGAACACAUAACGUCUGCGCAAAGACAGAUCUGUUGGCAAACGUUCGCGGCUGCUUCGCUGUGAUCUCCAAACCGCUGGAAACACCCCAAAGGUCCACCAGCAGGGGGGCACAGAUGAACAAGCCGAGGGAAGGUGAUGCCAACCCCGGUGUGAAGGCGGCGGUGUGAGCAAUGGGCUUCCGAUUUCAGCUCUGAGGCAGAGUCCACAGGCCGUGCAGGCGCCCCUUGCAAGCCCCUGGUCGCCCCCAGUGGAGAGGACAUCCUAGACCGGCGCGGGACAACGGAUACGACGAAGCCACAGAUAAGGGCACAUGGGUAACUUAAAAUUCCCCAGCAUCCACGUUUUGAAAAGUGGAAAAUAAAUAGAUGCAAUUAAUUGUAA